rnacentral:lncRNA from 1 species
AACAAAAAAAAUAAAAAAAAUCAUAAAAACAAAAAGCGGAAGGAAAAUGAAAAAGAACGUGUUGGGGAAAGGAGGACAAGUUUGUUAGCAAAGAAUAUUUUUGGGGAUCAGAGAUGGGGAGCUGGAGGGUGAGCUGGCAAGGGGAAGAAAGGCAGAAUUGAGGGUUUGGGGUUUUUGAAAAAAAGAAAACGGUAGAAAAGGCGACAAAGGAGAGAAAAAAAAAGGAGGGGUUUUAGAGGAUCGGGACAAAGAAAGAGACGGGAAGAUUAGACUUGGCAGCAAGGAAGAUCAUCAGAAAACUACACACAAAGCUUUACCGGAGGUGAACAAUUAACGGCGAAGGUAAACUGCUAAUUCAUUAUGGAUGCAUGAUAUACAAACUUCUAAUGUUUGACAAUGCAUAUUAUUAUGAUUUCCUAUGAUCUAUUCGAGAACAUCAUGAUAUAUGUAUCAUCUUCUUUCUCCAUUUUCGCUGGUUAUAAUCACUGGUCACUAGACACUAACAUCACUCAGACUACACAUUCACCAUGUACAUCCAACCUUUCUCCCUGAAACAUCAAUCUCUAAAGCUACAGAACAGUCACCCAUAUACAUUCUAUUCCUGUUUACAUUAUACCCUUCUUCUCACACGAACCCCAAACCCACCUAUAACCCAAAACAGAGUCCCAUGAGUAUCAAGAACCUGAAACGCAGAAAAACUCAGAGGAGCAAAAACCCAAUCUUUUGUUUUUUUCCUCCUUUGUAGAACCAUCAUCUUUUUCAAUCGAACCAGAAGAGGGAAAACAGCACAAAACAGAUUAUAACCCUCACACCCUGGACUACUUAAGUUGCAAAUCCUUUAGAAAAAAUCCCAAUCCUUAGUAUAGGUGUUCUGUAAUGGUACCCAUCUCUCGG